UCCGGUUUGACACCGGCAGUCUCCCUAGAGUGCCCGGCUUUACCCGCUGGUAACUAGGGACGAGGGUUGCGCUCGUUGCGGGACUUAACCCAACAUCUCACGACACGAGCUGACGACAGCCAUGCAGCACCUGUGCACGGACUCCGAAGAGGGGCCGAUGUUUCCACGACAUUCCAGUGCAUGUCAAGCCCGGGUAAGGUUCUUCGCGUUGCGUCGAAUUAAACCACACGCUCCGCUGCUUGUGCGGGCCCCCGUCAAUUUCUUUGAGUUUUAAUCUUGCGACCGUACUUCCCAGGCGGCGCAUUUAUCGCGUUAGCUUCGCCACAAACGGGGUCGAUUCCGUUUACAGCAAAUGCGCACCGUUUACAGCCAAGACUAC
rnacentral:misc_RNA from 1 species